rnacentral:rRNA from 1 species
AGAUUAAGCUACUAAGUGUAGAUGGUGGAUGCCUUGGCACAAAAAGUCGAUGAAGGACGUGAUAGGCUGCGAUAAGCUUCGGGAAGUUGCCAAUAAACGUUAUACCCGAAGAUGUCCGAAUGGGGAAACCCUUUCCGAUCAACUUGUUGAUCGGAAAACCCUGCAGUGAAUACAUAGCUGCUGUGGAGAUAAGCUGGCGAAGUGAAACAUCUCAGUAACCAGAAGAAAAGAAACCGAUAUGGAUUCCCUGAGUAGUGGCGAGCGAAAGGGGAAGAGCCCAAACCCUAAGAACAGGACGAUUUUUCCAAACCUGCGUUGUAGGUGCGGAAUUUGAGUCGUCAUUAUAGUGAUGGUUGUUUUAGGGGGUUGUAGAAUAAACCUGUUUCCAGACUAUAAUCUGGAAGAGUAAGUAAAAAAUCCUAUUGUUAGCAGAACAAGCCUGGAAAGGCAGAGCGUAGAGGGUAAUACUCCCGUAUGCAAAAACAAUUGGACUUGCUUGGGUUUAUUCUGAGUACUACGGCAUAGGUGAAAUUCCGUAGGAAUCAUCCCAAACCACUGGGAAAGGCUAAAUACUUUUUGUGACCGAUAGUGAACAAGUACCGAGAGGGAAAGGUGAAAAGCACCCCUGAGAGGGGAAUGAAAUAGUAUCUGAAACCAUUUACAUACAAACAGUUGGAGUACCGAUUUAUCGGUAUGACAGCGUGCCUAUUGAAGAAUGAGCCUGCGAGUUAAUCUAUAUGGCUGCCUGCCUGACGGCAGACAGGGUUAAGGUGUUUUGCACUGUAGCCAGAGCGAAAGCGAGUCUUAACGGGCGAAAUAAUAGUCUUAUAGAUUAGACCCGAAACCGUGUGAUCUAACCAUGAACAGGUUGAAUGCCGAUGAAAAUCGGCAGGAGGACCGAACCAGUAACUGUUUCAAAAGUUUUGGAUGAUUUGUGGUUAGCGGUGAUACGCCAAACGGACACGGUAAUAGCUGGUUCUCUCCGAAACAGCUUUAGGGUUGGCCUCGAUAUAUUAGCAGAUGGAGGUAGAGCACUGAUUGAGUCGUCGGCUCCGAAUGGAGUACUUCACUCUCUCAAACUCCGAAUGCCAUCUGUCCAAAAUCGGGAGUUAGACCAAGGGAUAUAAGUUCCUUCGGUCGAAAGGGAAACAGCCCAGAUCAUCAGUUAAGGCCCCUAAAUUCAUACUAAGUGGAAAAGGAGGUGAAAUUUCUCAGACAGCCAGGAGGUUUGCUUAGAGGCAGCCAUCCUUUAAAGAGUGCGUAACAGCUCACUGGUCAAGAGAUUUUGCGCCGACAAUUCAACGGGGCUCAAG